rnacentral:rRNA from 1 species
UACAGAGGGUGCGAGCGUUAAUCGGAAUUACUGGGCGUAAAGCGUGCGUAGACGGUUAUCUAAGUCGGAUGUGAAAGCCCCGGGCUCAACCUGGGAAUUGCAUUUGAGACUGCGUAGCUAGGGUGCGGAAGAGGGAAGCGGAAUUUCCGGUGUAGCGGUGAAAUGCGUAGAUAUCGGAAGGAACACCAGUGGCGAAAGCGGCUUCCUGGUCCAGCACCGACGUUCAGGCACGAAAGCGUGGGGAGCAAACAGG